rnacentral:tRNA from 1 species
GCCCUCAUCGUCUAACGGCUAGGACACCACUCUUUCAAGGUGGCGGUCGGGGUUCGAUUCCCCGUGAGGGCG